GUUACCAUAAAGCACCAAUGCUGCAGCAAGCAAAGGCUCUAGCAGCUCAGCCAGCUGCUUGUGGCUGGAAAGCCAGACAGGAUGUUUGUGACUGUUGCCAUGGGAACAAAGGGGCAGUCCAUUCUGUACUGAGCACCGGAUGUUAGCUCAGUGUGUGUGUGUCAUUUGACCCGUACUGGAUGUACUUGGGUGGAGUUUCUUCUUGCUGUUGUUGAGUGCAGACAUGAUUCUCUGUACUGAUGUAAGAGGCAGAAAUAAAUGAUGUAAAUAGUUUUCUGUCUGCUUCUUCCCCUCCCUGGGGACACCAAAGGGGAGAGAGGAAGAACGGUGUGUUCCUCUCAUACAUCUGAGAAGAAUCGCCGGACCUCGCCUGCUUAUCAGCAGAGUGGAGACGCAGGGAGGUCGACAGGAAUAUCUGCCGGUGCCUACGCUGUGGCACAUUCCUCUGACCCAGGCAGAAUUCCAACAGUGGUAGCAGAGGAUGGUUGCGAUUCAUCGGACAUCUGCAUGAGAGGCUGGUGGAUUGUCCUCCACUGCUCCUAAGGAGGAAUAGAAGCGUCUGAAAGAAGCCAGAGGCUCCACAGACAGCUGGUGGAAAGAAGAGGUGUUUUCCAGAGCAACAAAGUUCAAGGUAUGCUGCAUUUCGGGCUAAAAGUGUGAACGCAGGAAGAUUAAUUCCCUGGUUCACGGAGCUGCGUUUCAAAGAAAACAAGAGCUCCGGGAGAAGAGGCCUGCAGCUUGAAGGCUGAAGCCUGCAUUCCACAAAUUUUUGUGGUAGAUAAGAGGUCCUAUUGAAAUGCAUUGUUGCUAGGUAACGGUCCUGGAAAGUCACUGGCAAAGGGGCUGGACUCUGAGUGUGAGCCUGGGAAAGCGCAACAAAAUCAGAGAAUGUUUUGGCUACAAGGUUUACGAGCUCUUGGAAGGGACUUUUCAAUAGCAGCCUGCGUUUAGCUGCCAGGUGCAAAGAGCGUAAACAAUUUGCAGUUUGCUGCGUGAGCCAAGGAAAAAAACAACUGUUGGAUUUUACAGUUUGUUUGACAUUGUGAGCUGGAGGCUUGGCUUCAAGAUGGAUGCCAAGAAAGGGGGAGGUUUGCCUUGCCCACCUCCCUUGACCAAUGACAAUUAUUCAUCUUGGUCUGUAAAGAUGAAGGCCCUGCUGCAGAAUCAGAGGCUUUUUGAUGUAAUUGAAAACCCCAUCCCUGCAGCACCAACCAGAGGUUGGGAGUCACAGAAUGUAAGGGCCAGGACUGCUAUAAUUCUGUGUGUCUCAGAUAAUCAGUUGGUGCAUGUUCAGCAUUUAGAAAAUGCGAAAGAGGUAUGGGACACACUGCGUACAACGCAUCAGAGAGAUGCUGGUUCUUCAGCGUUGCUGUAUUUUGAGAAAUUGACCAAUCUGAGACUUGCGCCUGAUGGAGAUGUUCAAGCGCACCUGACAGAAAUGAAGUUUCUGCGUCAACAGAUGGUGGAACGCAAUUUCCGUCUUCAGGAGGAAGUGUUUUGCUUCAUGAUGAUAAACAGCCUUAGCCGCACCUACAAGGUUGUUGCCAGUCAGCUUGGUUCCCUACCGGCCGCGCAGCUGACCGCGGAGAGAGUUUGUGCUGUGGUCCUGAAUGAACACGACAGACUUGCUGCACUGGAAGAAAAGACAGGGGGAGGGAAGAACAGAGUUCUAAUUCCCCACUGCUGAUGCUACUGGAGAGCAUGGUGUAGCAUUGAGUGCUGUCCGAUGCUACAAUUGUGGACAGACUGGGCAUCUACAGCGAAACUGUAAGAAGCCGCGCCAGUCAAGAGGAGCAAAGAGCAGCUCUACGAAGCCUCAGGCGUCAGGCAAAAGCCGUACCAAGUGCCAGGUGAAACCUGCAAAGGCUAUGAUGGCGAAAGGAACCACGCCAGAUGUUGGGAACUCGUUCAUAAUUGAUACGGGCGCAACGGUUCACAUGUGCCCGCACAGAGGACUAUUUUCGACGUUGAAGAAGCAAAGCUUCACUGUGAAACAGGCCAACGGUCAGGAGUUGGAAGCAACUGGAAUUGGGACUGUGUAUCUUGAAAGUCUGAACUUGACUAUAAGUGAUGUUUACCUGGUUCCAGAACUGAGAUUUAAUCUGCUGAGCGUGUCGCAGAUUGCAAAGAAAGGACUGAAACUGUCCUAUGAUGCUAAAAGCUGCAAGAUCUACAAAGAUGGAGAACUGUUUCUUACUGCCAAAGAGAAAGAUGGACUGUAUUUGUUGACUUUUGAUCAAAGUGAUUACAUGAAAUGUAAUUCUUCUGAUUCUAACGAAAUCUCUCUUGCAGGUGUGACCAGUGUGAGCACCAGGAAGGUGACUAAGACGAAGAAGGUCAACAGAGCAUUUCAGCGGGUGUAUGCUGAUGUGAUUGGUCCUCUAGAACCAUCUAGAGGCGGUGCACGAUUUUACCUUUUGUGUGUGGAUUGUUUCACUAAUUAUUCUUGGGUUUAUAUGAUGGAGAAACCGCAAGAAACUUUAGAAAAGUUUCAGGAAUUUUGUGACAAGGUUAAAAGUAUGCAUGAUGCUAACAUUGAUUGUCUUUUCACAGAUGACAAACAAAUUUUUCUGUUACAGAAGUUUCAGAAGUUCCUGGAUGGAAAAGGGAUAGACCACAAAGUUGCAGUCUCGCAAGAAGCGUGGAACAGGGGGGUCUGUGUGAGAGUGAACAAAGAAUUGCAAAAGGGGAUGAAUGCGCAAUUGCUGAGUUCACAUUUGCCACAUGAAUAUUGGGCCGAAUCGCUAGCGUCCUAUCUUCAUGUGUGGUUGAGAAAAGUCUCAACAGAGUUGGGAUGUUCUCCUUUUGAGAAGCUGUUCAAUAGAAAACCUUCUGUUGCCUAUUUCAAGGUUUUCGGGUCUCAUGUGAGAACAGAAGCUCCAGGUGGUGUAAAGAAUGCCAGAGGCAUUUUUGUGGGUUAUGAAAAAGGUCUCUACAGAAUAAUUUUGUCUGAAUCUGGUCAGGUGAUUCUCACAAAGUUUCUAGAGAGUGCUCCUGAACAGGAGAGGUUGAUUGUUCACGCAUUUCCCACAGAGGAUUCUGAUGAUAAUGAUAAUGAUGAGUUUGAUCUUAUUGAGUUCAGUAGUACUGAUGAUGACAGCGAUAGCUCAGACAGCUCAGUUGUCACAGUCAUUGAGAGGAAAUCUCACAUAAUGACUAGACCCUCAGAAGAGGAGGAUGAACCACUGAUUGCUACUGGUUCUCAACAGAGUCCAAAGGUUGAACCAGUGAGCACAGAAGAUCAGAACCUCAUACGCAGGUCUGAGAGAGUUACAAAGGGUGUACCACCAAAGAGGUACUCAAAAGAGUUUGCUAACUUAGCUGUUGCAUGUGUUGCUAUUGUUAACAACUCAAAGCAGGUUGAAGCAGUGUCUACGUCAGAGACAAAGACACAACAGAGGGUAGCUAGCCAAGGUAAUGCAGAAGCACUCAUUCCUUGGAAGCCAGACAACCAGAGAGGUACAUUGGUUAAACCAGUGGCGGGUAGUUCCAAGGGUGGAACUGAAACAACAGGGGAAUGUUAUAAAUAUAACAACUGUUUGUUUUCUUCUCUGGAUGACGCUUUGCUCGCGGCACACAUUGAUACUUUAGGGGAGUAUGUUACCAUAAAGCACCAAUGCUGCAGCAAGCAAAGGCUCUAGCAGCUCAGCCAGCUGCUUGUGGCUGGAAAGCCAGACAGGAUGUUUGUGACUGUUGCCAUGGGAACAAAGGGGCAGUCCAUUCUGUACUGAGCACCGGAUGUUAGCUCAGUGUGUGUGUGUCAUUUGACCCGUACUGGAUGUACUUGGGAGGAGUUUUCUUCUUGCUGUUGUUGAGUGCAGACAUGAUUCUCUGUACUGAUGUAAGAGGCAGAAAUAAAUGAUGUAAAUAGUUUUCUGUCUGCUUCUUUCCCCUCCCUGGGGACACCAAAGGGGGAGAGGAAGAACGGUGUGUUCCUCUCAUACAUCUGAGAAGAAUCGCCGGACCUCGCCUGCUUAUCAGCAGAGUGGAGACGCAGGGAGGUCGACAGGAAUAUCUGCCGGUGCCUACGCUGUGGCACAUUCCUCUGACCCAGGCAGAAUUCCAACAGCCACUAGGUAAAGGUAAAGGACCCCUGGAUAGUUAAGUCCAGUCAAAGGUGACUAUGGGGUUGCAGCACCCAUCUCGCUUUCAGGCUGAGGGAGCUGGCGUUUGUUCACAGACAGCUUUCCGGGUCAUGUGGCCAGCAUGACUAAACCGCUUCUGGCGCAACAGAACCCCGUGAUGGAAGCACGGAAACACCGUUUACCUUCCUGCCUAUUUAUCUACUUGCACUGGUGUGCUUUCAAACUGCUAUGUUGGCAAGAGCUGGGACAGAGCAACGGGAACUCACCCUGUAGUGGGGAUUCAAACCGGCGACCUUCUGAUCAGCAAGCCCAAGAGGCUCAGUGGUUUAGACUACAGCACCGCCCACAUCCCUGCAACAUCAGGAGAGCUACAGAUUCCCCACCCUUAAUUUAAUCUCUAUACCAGAUGUGCAGUUACAAUGCAGAUAGACUUUUAGGACAUCCGAAUAUAAGAAGAGCCCUGCUAUCUUAAACCAGACACCAAUCUAUUCCAGCAUCUGUUCUCACAAUGGCCAACCAGAAGGCAAUGGGAAGCUCACAAGUAUGAGUGCAAUAGCCCUCUCCCAUUCACAAUCCCCAUCACCUAGUAUUUAGAAGCAAUAUCAUCUCUGAUAAUGGAAUUAAUAUUUAAAUAUCAUGACUAGUAGCAAUUGAUUGCCUUAUUUUCCAUGACUUUGCCUAGUCCUCAUUUAAAGCCAUCUAAGGUAGUAGACAUCACUACAUCUUGUGGAGACAAAUUCAAAGUGUGUUGUGUGACAAAGAAUUUAUUUUUGUCCUGAAUCUCUCAACAGUUCUGGCCAUUUGCAAUGUCUCAUUGAAAUAAGUUUCUGAGUGAGGCUGGCCAGUGCAAGACUGCAUAUGCCAAAUUAGACUCCACCACUUGCCUUAGAACAUUGUUCCUCAACCUAAUAGGUCUCCCUGGCUGGCAGGUUUUUUUCCCUAUAGUAAACUUACAUUUACUUUGCAAUUUCUCAUCAGUUAGUUUCAUGUUCAGGAUCUUAAGCUGUUUCAUCCUGUUCCAAUAUUUACUUUUCAGAUUUUUCAGGGUAUUGUUUGAAGCCAACAAAAAGACUCAUCAGUGCUAUGUAAAGAAAAAAAAAAGCAAUGUCAUUAUUAUUUGUUUUUAAAUUACAAUAUUUGGAUUUGUUCUUUUAACUUCUCCAAGUGUCCUUUGCAUUCUUUGUAUAAUUCUAAAUAGCAAAAUUGGAUCUGCCUCCCAGAUUAUCAGGGUGAAUUUAAGAAGGCAUAUUUGACCAGGUAAAAAGGUAUAGAAAAAGUACUUUACAGUGCGCACAAUAUUCUCGAUGCUGCUUGAUGUUGGAAAUUACUUGCAUAAAACAUGGACACAUUCCAUCCAUACCCCAAUGGGUGCAGCUGCACGAAGGAAUAAGGAGGUGGCCUUCUCAGGCAGCAGCUGUGUAUGGAAGGGGAGGUGGGAAAUUGUUCAGCUCUUCUUUGCAAUGGCAAUUGGCUGGCGACUGGCUAGCUCUAUAUAGCACAUGUGGGGUAGAUGGGGAACAUCAGCUAGUUGAUGGAGCUGUGUUCAGGGCCUUCAUUGUCCCUUGAACAGCAUAUUCAACUGCUAGUCCAGUCGGCUUCUGUAUGUGGAAUGAGAAGGAGGCACCUUCUUGUCCUUUGCAUCAAGCAGCAAAAUUUCUUGGGCAGCCCGGUAGUUAACACAUUGCUAAUAUGCUGCCAAGAGAUAAUUAUAUUGCUAGGAGUGUCUACAGUGGAAGGCUUUUGUUGAAUUCAGCUACCUGAUGGGCAGAUGGAGAGGGAUUUCGGUGGUACAAUUAAAGCCAAUAGCAGACUACAACAGGAUCAUGGCUAAGCUCAGUCUAAAGAAGCCACAAUUCAUUUUCAGGCUAUUUAAUGGGUUACUUUGCAUUUAAUUUUAAUACUCAAUUUGAAUAAUGUAUCAUGGUCUGAGAGAGUAAUAACAAUCAGCCUAUUGAUCUUCUUUAUCUGGAUGGAAUAAAAAUGUUGCAUUCUGGCAGCUCUUUGAUUAUGAGAAUUGCAAUUAGGAGUGGGUUUGUGUGUGUGUUCCUACUGGGACUUCAGACACUGAGAAUUAUAUUGCUUUUAUGUUAAGCAAAUCAAGUGACACGAUAUUUAUUGCACAGUCGGUGACAAGAGGGAAUUUAUUUGAAACAUUUGUUGUUUUAGAAUGACUGUAUUGUUCCUUCUGGCAUGACUGAUGGAGUUCAGAUAAAAAAUGGUUCCAUCCGUGUUUAGUUUGGGUGUAGGUGUCAUAUGUACAAAUGUUAUACAGUGAAAAAAACCCCACAGACUUAAUUGCUGUUAUUAUUGUCCUUAUCAUUUUUAAUGUCAGCUGUGUUUAGGAUUGGAGCGAAAGUUAACUUUGAUUCUGAGCACAGAUCAACUCUGUGUGGG